rnacentral:rRNA from 1 species
GAUGAACGCUGGCGGCGUGCCUAAUACAUGCAAGUCGAGCGAACAGACGAGGAGCUUGCUCCUCUGACGUUAGCGGCGGACGGGUGAUUAACACGUGGAUAACCUACCUAUAAGACUGGGAUAACUUCGGGAAACCGGAGCUAAUACCGGAUAAUAUAUUGAGCCGCAUGGUUCAAUAGUGAAAGACGGUUUUGCUGUCACUUAUAGAUGGAUCCGCGCCGCAUUAGCUAGUUGGUAAGGUAACGGCUUACCAAGGCAACGAUGCGUAGCCGACCUGAGAGGGUGAUCGGCCACACUGGAACUGAGACACGGUCCAGACUCCUACGGGAGGCAGCAGUAGGGAAUCUUCCGCAAUGGGCGAAAGCCUGACGGAGCAACGCCGCGUGAGUGAUGAAGGUCUUCGGAUCGUAAAACUCUGUUAUUAGGGAAGAACAAAUGUGUAAGUAACUAUGCACGUCUUGACGGUACCUAAUCAGAAAGCCACGGCUAACUACGUG